AUUGAACGCUGGCGGAAUGCUUUACACAUGCAGGUCGAACGGCAGCACGGGGGCAACCCUGGUGGCGAGUGGCGAACGGGUGAGUAAUACAUCGGAACGUGCCCAGUCGUGGGGGAUAACGUAGCGAAAGUUACGCUAAUACCGCAUACGAUCUACGGACGAAAGCGGGGGACCGUAAGGCCUCGCGCGAUUGGAGCGGCCGAUGUCAGAUUAGGUAGUUGGUGAGGUAAAGGCUCACCAAGCCGACGAUCUGUAGCUGGUCUGAGAGGACGACCAGCCACACUGGGACUGAGACACGGCCCAGACUCCUACGGGAGGCAGCAGUGGGGAAUUUUGGACAAUGGGCGCAAGCCUGAUCCAGCCAUUCCGCGUGCAGGACGAAGGCCUUCGGGUUGUAAACUGCUUUUGUACGGAACGAAAAGGCUCUGGUUAAUACCUGGGGCUCAUGACGGUACCGUAAGAAUAAGCACCGGCUAACUACGUGCCAGCCGCCGCGGUAA
rnacentral:rRNA from 1 species